ACGGAGGGGGCAAGCGUUGUUCGGAAUUACUGGGCGUAAAGCGCGCGUAGGCGGUCGUGCAAGUCAGAUGUGAAAGCCCUCGGCUCAACCGGGGAACUGCGUCUGAUACUGCUCGACUUGAGUCCGGUAGGGGAUGGCGGAAUUCCCGGUGUAGCGGUGGAAUGCGUAGAUAUCGGGAGGAACACCGAUGGCGAAGGCGGCCAUCUGGGCCGGAACUGACGCUGAGGCGCGAGAGCUAGGGGAGCAAACAG
rnacentral:rRNA from 1 species